UACGAAGGGGGCUAGCGUUGUUCGGAAUUACUGGGCGUAAAGCGUAUGUAGGCGGAUCUUUAAGUCGGGGGUGAAAUCCCGAGGCUCAACCUCGGAACUGCCUUCGAUACUGAAGAUCUUGAGUCCGGGAGAGGUGAGUGGAACUGCGAGUGUAGAGGUGAAAUUCGUAGAUAUUCGCAAGAACACCAGUGGCGAAGGCGGCUCACUGGCCCGGUACUGACGCUGAUGCACGAAAGCUAGGGGAGCAAACAGG
rnacentral:rRNA from 1 species